AGAGUUUGAUUAUUGCUCAGAUUGAACGCUGGCGGCGUGCCUAACACAUGCAAGUCGAGCGGUACAGGUGGUAGCAAUACAUGCUGACGAGCGGCGGACGGGUGAGUAACGCUUGGGAAUCUGCCUGUUAGUGGGGGACAACCCGGGGAAACUCGGGCUAAUACCGCAUACGCACUACGGUGGAAAGCCGGGGACCGCAAGGCCUGGCGCUAACAGAUGAGCCCAAGUCGGAUUAGCUAGUUGGUAGGGUAACGGCCUACCAAGGCGACGAUCCGUAACUGGUCUGAGAGGACGACCAGUCACACCGGAACUGAGACACGGUCCGGACUCCUACGGGAGGCAGCAGUGGGGAAUAUUGGACAAUGGGCGAAAGCCUGAUCCAGCGACGCCGCGUGGGUGAAGAAGGCCUGCGGGUUGUAAAGCCCUUUCGGUGGGGAAGAAAAGCCUCGAGCUAAUACCUCGGGGUCUUGACGUAACCCAUAGAAGAAGCACCGGCUAACUCUGUGCCAGCAGCCGCGGUAAUACAGAGGGUGCGAGCGUUAAUCGGAAUUACUGGGCGUAAAGCGCGCGUAGGCGGCUUUGCAAGUCGGGUGUGAAAUCCCCAGGCUUAACCUGGGAACUGCAUUCGAGACUGCAUUGCUAGAGUAUGGGAGAGGGAAGUGGAAUUUCCGGUGUAGCGGUGAAAUGCGUAGAUAUCGGAAGGAACAUCAGUGGCGAAAGCGACUUCCUGGACCAAUACUGACGCUCAUGUGCGAAAGCGUGGGGAGCAAACAGGAUUAGAUACCCUGGUAGUCCACGCCAUAAACGAUGAGAACUGGAUGUCGGGAGGGUCUGCCUCUCGGUGUCGUAGCUAACGCGUUAAGUUCUCCGCCUGGGGAGUACGGCCGCAAGGUUGAAACUCAAAUGAAUUGACGGGG
rnacentral:rRNA from 1 species